GAAUAGGUAAGGUACGUCAACAAUGCAUUUCGCUGAAACCGUCACUCCACACCACUGAAGUCUCAGCCAACAUCAUGGCAGCAUUAGGACUCCUAUGGCUUGUGAUCUCCACAGCAUCCAUCCUUGUCAAAUGUGAUGAAGAUGCAACAUCUGAACACAAAGAGAUCUACCCAGCAAAGAUCUUUGGACCAUCUAGUGUGACUGAAGGGGUAAACGUCACUUUUAAAUGUAGCACUACUGGCAUCAGAGGACCUGAGGACAAGUUUAAUUUUUACCUUUGCAAGAAUGGAGUUGGGAUAAGAAUUGCGCUGCUGGAGAAACUUGUAGAUGACGCUAUUUUCACCAUAAAGGAUGUUACAAGAGAAGACUCAGGCAACUACAGCUGUGUGUACACCAGAGAUAAACUUGUACCCAGUCAGGUGAACUCAACAGGGGAGAAUUUAGUGUUUUUUCAGGUUGGUGGAGAACAGAAAGAGGCUGCACAUGGUGUGAUACUGGUCAAUGUAAUCCGACUGAUAAGUUCAGCUGUUGUGGUCAUACUUCUACUGACUGUGGUGGCUGUUAGUUCCUGCUGUUCAGAAAGAGGUAAUUAUGAUGAUUAAUGUCUCUUUUCUGGAUGACAUACAGUAGUGAUCUACUGACA
rnacentral:lncRNA from 8 species